GCUCCUGUAGCCCAAUUGGAAGAGGCAGCAGGUUUAAGCCCUGCGUAGUACUGGUUCAAAUCCAGUCAGGAGCA
rnacentral:tRNA from 2 species